rnacentral:rRNA from 1 species
UACGGAGGGUGCGAGCGUUGUCCGGAAUCACUGGGCGUAAAGCGUGCGCAGGCGGCGCGUUAAGACAGGUGUGAAAGCCCCGAGCUUAACUUGGGAAUUGCGCUUGUGACUGGCGUGCUGGAGUGUGGCAGAGGGAGGUGGAAUUCCACGUGUAGCAGUGAAAUGCGUAGAGAUGUGGAGGAACACCGAUGGCGAAGGCAGCCUCCUGGGCCAGCACUGACGCUCAUGCAUGAAAGCGUGGGGAGCAAACAGG